GAGCAGGGCUAAAUAUGCUAAAAGCAUCCGAUCCCAUAGGAUUUUGGAAGCUGAGCAGGGUCACUCGUGGUUAGCCUUUGGAUGGGAGGCCACUUAGGAAAAACAGGCAAUGUUUC
rnacentral:rRNA from 11 species